rnacentral:lncRNA from 1 species
CAGACUUAUGACUGUCAGAAGCAUCAGAGUCAUUUGAAUCAGAAGCAGAAAGAUCAACAGACGAUUCACUUGAGGCAGUGAGGUCCAAAUGUUCACAUUGAGAUGAGUGAAGCACGUAACUGGAGUUCAAAUUGGGACAUUUUGCUUCUCUCAGACUCUGUUCAUCUGUGACAUCCUUCCCAUCAUAUGCUGCAGAGUGUUUUUGGAGUUCAAAUUGGGACAUUUUGCUUCUGUCAGACUCUGUUCAUCUCUGACAUCCUUCCCAUCAUAUGCUGCAGAGUGUUUGGAUCUCAAAACUGCAGCUUCUGCUGGGGAAGCAUCGCCUGAUUCUGAAGAAUGUCUCCCUUCAACCUCAAU